UGGUCGAUAGACGAGUUUCCCAAAAUUAUUUUGAAGAUCCCAAAAUUAUUUUGAAGAAAAAAUAUAUGGUUUGCCAAGUACAUAAAUUUAUUGAAAGAUUAGAAUAAUACUGAGUUUAAUUAAUAAUAAAUGAAUAUUUUUAGAACUGAUAAUCCGAUUAAUAUCGGAAAAGAUUUCAUGUUCAACCGGAUCUUGUACAUGUAACUAAAUCUGAACCGAAUCCGACUAAACUCGAACUGAAUCUGAGCCGAAAUUUUAUAAUAUGUGAAUGGAGAUAAAAUUAAUGAACCUAGAAACUCAAAAUUCAGAUGGAUCUGAACUGAAACCCGAUUAAGACCUAGUUACCCAGCCCUAAUUGAAGAAUAGUAUGUUUUUGAUUAAUUUCAGUAGUGUUUUUUUAAAAGAUUUCUAGAUGAAGUUAGAUAUCAG
rnacentral:lncRNA from 1 species